ACAUGCAUUGUAGAUUAAAUUAUUUAAUCUAUGUAUAUUUCACUGUAAGUUUUUAAAAAUGCAUGCACAAAAACCCACCAUGCUUCUCUGCAAUUGGGUCCUAUCAAUUUUUUACUGUCAGUGAUCGGAGAGACAAGUUUUAGGCCAUAACUGUACAAAAAAAAAAUCAAAACUUAAUCAGUAUAUAAAUUAAUUAUGCCUAAAGAUAUGGACUUUAGUCUAAAGGUUCUCCCACUAUUGUAUACGAAUUGGUAGCCUCUACCUCUAAUUUGAGGAAUUAUCUUAAUUUUUUAGUGGGUACUAGAAUCCACAC
rnacentral:lncRNA from 1 species